rnacentral:hammerhead_ribozyme from 1 species
AUCCAGCUGACGAGUUCCAAACAGGACGAAACGCGCGGCCUGGAU